rnacentral:lncRNA from 1 species
GCUGGCAUCGACUCUGGGCAGGGAGAUCCCGAGCCCACCCGCAGUGGGGUUUUGAGCGGUGAUUUUCUGGUGAAGCAUGUCCCUGCCCCACUCCAGAAUCCGCAGCGGGCCGGGACCGCCAGAUCCCAGAAAAGUUUCUCUCCUGCGAAGUUAUCGGUAUCGGAGUUUGGCACUGUAGGGCUGGUUGGAGACGCCGAAUCUGUGCCUGAAAGCCCUUGUCCUAGAGUGGGAAGUUUUUAUUGGGAAAAAAAGAAAGGCCUUUCUUAGCGAAAGUAAAAUUUUCCCUCUUAAUUUGGAGCAACAGGCAGCCCCAAACCUGAGCAGGUUCACCUGUGCGCUGGGGCUGGAAUUCCACCUGGGCUUCUUGGCGCUGCCUGCGGCUGGGAGGGAGCACAGGCAGCCGGGCCAGCGUCCUGGGAGCUAAGAACCUUCCUGGUUUGCUAUUAGUCCUGCACUUUCUCAGCUGAGGCUCUCAGACGUUCCAGAGGAAUAUGGGCUUGGAAUGGAUCCUGGCUUUUCCCACCCGCCUGCCUCAGUUUCCUUAUCUAUAGAAUGGAGCCGAUAAUCCCCACCUCCUGGAUUUGAGGUGGAGAUAAAAGCCUCUGCGGGAUUUGUGAAACUAUUGGUCACCUUGCAGGAAGUGGCACGGUCGGUGACUGGCGUCCUGGGUGUGGGCGGGAGGACCUUUGGCCUCAGGAAAGCUCAGCUACUGUCUUCCACACCCUUGUGACUGUUGGGCCCAGGGCAGAGGGCUCUGUAGGAGCAGAGCAGGGCGCCCCCACUUCCCAGCCCUCUGAUCAGUGGCUCCCCCUCUUCCCUCACACCGCUGCCGCCGCCUCACUCCUGCAUCCCUGUCCUUCUACAUUUUUGGUGGCUUGGCUCCUACUUGUGGUGGCAGUUGCUGCCGCCUAAACUAUUUGCCUGAAGGUGGAGAUUAAACAGCCCUUUCUGGUUCCCUUUAAAAGCUUUCCUAAUUGGUAGAAAAUGUAUCUAGGCCUCAAAUGAGAGUGACAGCCUGCGGGUGGGGAUGGGGACGGGGUCCUCUCUCUUUGGGUUGGUGGCCAAGUGGCCUCUGCAGGUGCCUUGGGGUGGGGGCUGGGGUGGGACCUGGCCCUGGAGGGGAUGUGUGUUGCUAGUCCAACAGAGUUUUUCAUUUAUUUACCUUCCCAGCCCCUGAGUUCAGGGCAGGACUGGGCUUCUAGGGAUAUUUUGUUACUGAUUAGCAAUCUAAGGCUACAACUUGGGUUUCUCUUUGUAACCCUGUAUCCACCACACCUCCCACCGCAGGCUCCUUAAGGCCAGUGGGAGUAGCUCAAAGUUGGGCUGUUUAAUUCCUUAGGGUGGCACCUUCUGGGAGGUGCGGAGUCCCGGUCCCACCCUCUGUGGCCUCACCUUCUGGGAGGCCUUGGGAGGCUCGGAUUUCUGGGCCUCGGUUUCCCCAAGUGCAGUGUGGAGCAGGAUAUGGCUCCAGUCCCGUCUGUGGCUGGGAAAUGAAAUGUUUCUGGUUUUCAGCUGCGUCAUCAGUGACACUUGGCGAGAGUGAUUCUCUGCAGGGCACUGAAGUGCUGGAAUGUCAGAGCCUAUUUGCAGAGAAGUUCAGUCAUGUUUUGGACAAGGAGACGCAGCCCCUGCCUGGCUCAGGAUUUCACUGCUGCAGUGAACCGUUCCACCUGAGCUUUCUUGCCCCAUUGGGGGUGGGGGACAGGGUGGAGUUGCAGAGUUUUCCUGCAGAAUCCAUGCUCCCCCAAAGCCCAGGCACCCUUGGAACCAGACUGCUGCAGGUUUUGUGGUGGCAAAGCUUUGUGUUUGGGGUGAAAUAAAAAUUGGGCCUUAUUAUCACAAAUCUCAGUUGUAGGUGGGGUUGUUGUCGUUUAGUUUCUUGAAAGUCUAACAUGGCCUUGAGAUGUUCUCACAGUAAUAAGGGUGGGGUGCAUGGAAGCGAGGAAAGGCCUUUCUCUUAGAAACCCCCUUUCUGGACUUGAACCUGUGGUUUUCAGGUGAGUGGUGCCGGAGCUGGAGAUGAGAAUGAUGCCACAUCUCAGGCGGGGUGGUGGCGAAAGUGGAGUCAGACACCAGGCUUGCGUCUGGGAUCCUCGCUCUCUGCUCACUCUCACAAGAACCCUAGCAGGCAGUGCCAUCCCCACUUGACACUGAGGUUCUGAGCAUUUCCCAGGAGAGCAGCUGAGAUUGAACGGUCUCAGUUCCAGGUGCCUGGGUGGUGCCCAGGGGUCCUCUGGUGCCCCAGCCUGGGGCUGGCUUGCAUCUCCAGCCCGUUGUCAUUCUGGCUGAUAAUUUUCAUCAGCAGACACUGCUGACUCCUUAUUUUUGAUUCGCGACCCAGGCUUGCCCUCCUUCUCCCAUGCUGGGAAGUGUCACUUCCUUAUCCGUGACCACAGAGCAGAUGGUUGAUAACCCAUUACCCAGAGGGCUCAGACUGUCUCGUGUUCAAAUCUCCCUUCUUUGGUGGAGUGGGGGGCGACACCCAGAGUGCCCCCUUCAUCUCUGGGGGGUCGAGGGAGGUCAGGGUCAGCACACAGCCAGCCUCAGCAGUUGUGAGAAUCCUUAUUUAUUUAUUUAUUUUGGUCUUUUUGCCUCUUCUUGGCCUGCUCCCGCGGCAUAUGGAGGUUCCCAGGCUAGGGGUCUAAUCGGAGCUACAGCUGCUGGCCUACGCCACAGCCUCAGCAAUGCAGGAUCCGAGCCGCAUCUGCGACCUACACCAUAGCUCACGGCAAUGCCGGAUCCUCAACCUACUGAGCGAGGCCAGGGAUCGAACCCGCAGCCUCAUGGUUCCUAGUGGCUUCGUUAACCACUGUGCCACGACGGGAACUCUGAGAAUCCUUAUUUUUUCCAAGGAUUCUCAUGAAAGAAGAUGGGGACCCCUUGGAGGUUUGCCAAGUCGACAUCGGUUUGUUCUCUUUGAAACCAUUGCUGUUUAGACAGACAGCUUGCUCGAAUGUUUGCGACCAAGCCAGCAUCUGACUGCACCUGCUGGCACCUGCCACCAGGCCUUUGGGGAACAGGGGCCCCGUGGUCCUCUCCCAGAAGCUGGAGGGUACCUGCAGCCCUGCCGGGUGCCCUAAAGGCCGUGAGUGGCUGUGCCGGGAGGUGGUGCAUCUGUAUUCUUGGCAGUCCCUGGUCGGGGCUGGGCCUGGUGGGCCUGUGAACGCUGCUGCAAAUAGGCCUUUCUCCUGGGCAUUUUUUUUUGGGGGGGGGCUUUUCUCUUUUUGGGGCUGCACCCUAGGCACAUGGAGGCUCCCAGGCUAGAGGUCGAAUUGGAGCUGUAGCCACAGGCCUACACCACAGCCACAGCAAUGCAGAAUCCGAGCUGGGUCUAUGACCUACACCAUAGCUCAUGGCAACGCUGGAUCCCUGACCCACUGAGCAAGACCAGGGAUCAAACCUGCGUCCUCAUGGAUACUAGUCAGAUUCAUUUCCGCUGCGCCACAACAGGAACUCCUGUUUUUGUUUUUGUUUUAAAUAGAGGUCUGGGCUGGGCUGCCUAAUGUCUGGACUAGGGGCUCCUUGCUCUGAUCUGGGGGGCGAGGGGAGGCAGCUGAGGCGGGCAAACCCCAAACACCUGAAAGUCAGGUUUAUCACUUUGAAAGGAAUGAUUUUCCAACAAAACUCUUCUCAACCAUUUCUCCCCCCCCGUGUGUCCCCUCUUCACCAUCCUUGCCCCCAUGUCCCCGUCCACAUCCAUCCCCGUCCCCCCCAACCGUGCCCCCCCCCAAACCUACAGAGACCAGGCCCUCCAGCAGCCUUCGUGCUUUGGGCCCUGUUGACUUUGAAAAGUUUGGGUUUACAUUGAAAAUUUUGAGCUUUGCUAAAUAAGAUGGGUUUCUUCUCCUGUUUGUGUUUUUGUUGGUUUAACCGGAGGGAGCGAGGGAGGGUGGUCUGGGCCUUUAAAAAAAAAAAAAAAAAAAAAAAA